UGGCGAUAUGGCAGCUGUAAGCCAUAGGCGGUAGCGUU
rfam:Pragia fontium strain 24613, complete genome.